AUUGAACGCUGGCGGCAGGCCUAACACAUGCAAGUCGAACGAGUGGCGGACGGGUGAGUAAUGUCUGGGAAACUGCCUGAUGGAGGGGGAUAACUACUGGAAACGGUAGCUAAUACCGCAUACCAUCAGAUGUUCCCAGGUGGGAUUAGCUUGUUGGGGGGGUAACGGCUAACCAGGGCGACGAUCCUUAGCUGGUCUGAGAGGAUGACCAGCCAUCCUGGAACUGAGACACGUUCCAGAAUCCGACGGGAGGCAGCAGUGGGGAAUAUUGCACAAUGGGCGCAAGCCUGAUGCAGCCAUGCCGCGUGGAUGAAGAAGGCCUUCGGGUUGUAAAGUACUUUCAGCGGGGAGGCGUUACCCGCAGAAGAAGCACCGGCUAACUCCGUGCCAGCAGCCGCGGUAAUUC
rnacentral:rRNA from 1 species